CCCUUAGAUGUUCUGGGCCGCACGCGCGCUACACUGACGGAGUCAACGAGUUGUCCUGCAUCGGAAGGUGUGGGUAAUCUUUUGAAACUUCGUCGUGCUGGGGAUAGAUCUUUGCAAUUUUCGAUCUUGAACGAGGAAUUCCUAGUAAGCGUGAUUCAUCAGAUCGCGUUGAUUACGUCCCUGCCCUUUGUACACACCGCCCGUCGCUACUACCGAUUGAAUGGUUUAGUGAGGCCUCGGGACUGGCGCGCUCGAGUGGCAAUACACCUGCGCGCCGGGAACUUGGUCAAACUUGAUCAUUUAGAGGAAGUAAAAGUCGUAACA
rnacentral:rRNA from 1 species